GAUGAACGCUGGCGGCGUGCCUAAUACAUGCAAGUCGAGCGAACAGACGAGGAGCUUGCUACUCUGACGUUAGCGGCGGACGGGUGAGUAACACGUGGAUAACCUACCUAUAAGACUGGGAUAACUUCGGGAAACCGGAGCUAAUACCGGAUAAUAUAUUGAACCGCAUGGUUCAAUAGUGAAAGACGGUUUUGCUGUCACUUAUAGAUGGAUCCGCGCCGCAUUAGCUAGUUGGUAAGGUAACGGCUUACCAAGGCAACGAUGCGUAGCCGACCUGAGAGGGUGACCGCCCACAGGGGAACUAAGACCGGCUCAAGCCCCCUGCGGGAGGCAGAAGGGGGGAUUCUCCAGCAAUGGGGAAAGUCUUGAGGGAGCCGCGCGGCGGGAGUAAUAAGGUUCUCGGGUUCAAAAACUUUUUUUAUUGGGAAAAAAAAAAUGUGAAAUAACUUAUGCAUGUUUGGCGGGUACCUAAUAAGAAGACCCGGGCAAGCUACGUC
rnacentral:rRNA from 1 species